rnacentral:rRNA from 1 species
AGCGAACGCUGGCGGCAGGCUUAACACAUGCAAGUCGAGCGGGCACUUUCGGGUGUCAGCGGCGGACGGGUGAGUAACGCGUGGGAACGUGCCCUCUGGUUCGGAAUAACUCAGGGAAACUUGAGCUAAUACCGGAUACGCCCUUUUGGGGAAAGGCUUGCUGCCGGAGGAUCGGCCCGCGUCUGAUUAGCUAGUUGGUGGGGUAACGGCCUACCAAGGCGACGAUCAGUAGCUGGUCUGAGAGGAUGAUCAGCCACACUGGGACUGAGACACGGCCCAGACUCCUACGGGAGGCAGCAGUGGGGAAUAUUGGACAAUGGGGGCAACCCUGAUCCAGCCAUGCCGCGUGAGUGAUGAAGGCCUUAGGGUUGUAAAGCUCUUUUCUCCGGGACGAUAAUGACGGUACCGGAGGAAUAAGCCCCGGCUAACUUCGUGCCAGCCGCCGCGGUAA